rnacentral:rRNA from 1 species
GAUGAACGCUGGCGGCGUGCUUAACACAUGCAAGUCGAACGGUGAAGCAGGAGCUUGCUCUUGUGGAUCAGUGGCGAACGGGUGAGUAACACGUGAGCAACCUGCCCCUGACUCUGGGAUAAGCGCUGGAAACGGCGUCUAAUACUGGAUAUGUGAUGUGACCGCAUGGUCUGCAUCUGGAAAGAAUUUCGGUUGGGGAUGGGCUCGCGGCCUAUCAGCUUGUUGGUGAGGUAAUGACUCACCAAGGCGUCGACGGGUAGCCGGCCUGAGAGGGGAACCGGCCACACUGGGACUGAGACACGGCCCAGACUCCUACGGGAGGCAGCAGUGGGGAAUAUUGCACAAUGGGCGGAAGCCUGAUGCAGCAACGCCGCGUGAGGGAUGGCGGCCUUCGGGUUGUAAACCUCUUUUAGCAGGGAAGAAGCGAAAGUGACGGUACCUGCAGAAAAAGCACCGGCUAACUACGUGCCAGCCGCCGCCGUAA